AUUUAUAUAGUUUAAUAAAAACAUUACAUUUUCAUUGUAAAAAUAAAAUCAAUUUUUAUAAAUA
rnacentral:tRNA from 1 species